ensembl:lncRNA
GGGUGGUCUAUAAUGUUUUGGGACUGUUUUCUGCCAGAAGACCUGGACAUUUUGUUAGGAUACAUGGCAUCAUGGACUCUAUCAAAUAUCAACAGAUAUUAAAUGAAAACCUGACUGCCUCUGCCAGAAAGCUUAAAAUGGGCCGUGGUUGGCUCUUCCAGCAGGACAAUGAUCCAAAACGUACAGCAAAAUCAACACAGAAAUGGUUUACUGACCACAAAAUCAAGGUCCUGCCAUGACCAUCCCAGUCUCCUGACCUGAACCCAUGGAAAACCUGUGUGGUGAACUGAAGAGGAGAGUCCACCAGUGUGGACCUCAAAAUGUGAAGGAUCUGGAGAGAUUCUGUAUGGAGGAACGCUUUCAGAUCCCUCGCCAUGUAUUCUCCACCCUCAUCAGGCGUUAUAGGAGAAGACUCAGAGCUGUUAUCUUGGCAAAGGGAGGUAGCACAAAGUAUUGACUAAAAGAGAGCCAGUAAUUGUGGCACACAUAUAUUUAACAAAGAUAUAAAUUUUUUUGGAUAAACCUGUGUUUUGUUUGCAAUUCUUUGCUAUCCACGACAGCAGAGUAUUUUGGUGAAUUUCUCUGAGCAAAAGAUCAAAAGGUUAAACAAUAGACAAUUUUUCACAGCCUUCUUUGCUCGUAUUUACCAAGGGUGCCAAUAUUAGUGGAGGGCGCUGUACAUUAGUGGAGGGCACUCAUUUCACUGUAGGGAAACAAGCUUUUCAGGGAUCUGUGGUGUGCAAAAUGGGCGGAGCUUAGUCCCUCAUCAAAGUUGCUACAUGAACAUAAGUGGAGAAAAACAGAAAUAAACUUGGAAUAAAUAAAUUCCAUUUAAAGUGAAGACAUGUUAUAGAUAUGUAACUUAUGUAAACAGUGUAUGUACAAAUCAGAAACCUGUAUCUACCUGCAGUGUCUUGACUUUGAUGAACAACAUGAAAAAGAAUGAAGACGUUAUUGUGCGCUGAUUUUUUAAAUAAUUUUUUUAAUCUCUCUCUCUCUCGUAGCCGUCGUCGGAACUCCCACAGCAGGCACCAGGACUCUGCCAAGGCCAUUCCACUGAUUGUAGAGAGCUGCAUCCGCUACAUUAACCUCUACGGUGAGUUGUAGUUAUGAAUUAGUAACGCACAG